GGCCGCGCUGAGAGUCACGUGGUGCGCCAGGAAGCCGCCUAGCUUCUUGGAGAGCUCACUGCCUCGCUCCGCUCCUUUCCUGGCGGGAGGCUCUGAGCCACCCCCACCUGCGCAGGGCGGCCAGGGGUGAGUGUCCACUAGGAGCGUCGCGCCCACCCGGACUGUCCACGCUGGGGCGCAGGCCGUCAGAAUGUCUUGCCCGGACCAGGGGACAAAAUGGCGGCAGGGUUAAAACAAAGUCACAAGUCUGACCCACACUCAAAGGGAGAAGAUUAUGCAAGAGCAAAAGCACGAGAUGGAAACCAUGGGGCCAUCUUAUAGUCUGUCUGCCGGAGAAAGAUGAACACAAAUCCUAUGAAAAGUUUCUAUGCAUUGUUAAUUGGCUGAAGUUUCCUAUCGACUGACAACAAUGACAACAAACAAAUGACAAACUCUUCGAAAAGCCCCAUCUUCAGGGACCUCUAAUUUCUGACUGUCUGGUUAAAGUGCUUGGCUAAGCAAGAUGAGCUCUCUAAGCUUCAUUUUAACAUGCAAUAGAGUGAAAGAGG
rnacentral:lncRNA from 1 species